UGGCCGGGAUAGCUCAGAAGUAGAGGG
rnacentral:tRNA from 1 species